rnacentral:lncRNA from 1 species
CCAUUCUCUCUCUCCUCCACUUUUUUUCUUCUUGCCCUCUUCUUCAUCUUCUCCUCUGUCCAAAGUGAUUUUCUUUAGGAUGAUAAAAUUGAAUUUUUCCAAAAUCAUUCUCUUAUAUAGAAUGUAGUUUUUUUCUCAUUUUUGAAACACAAUGGUACUCUAGUGUUCAACCCAAAAUAUGGUGAUAUUGGUUACACUUGGUUAUAACCUCUCUUCAAGAU